AGUGAACGCUGGCGGUAGGCCUAACACAUGCAAGUCGAACGGCAGCACAGUAAGAGCUUGCUCUUACGGGUGGCGAGUGGCGGUUGGGUGAGGAAUACAUCGGAAUCUACUUUUUCGUUGGGGUUAACGUAGGGAAACUUACGCUAAUACCGCAUACGACCUACGUGUGAAAGCAGUGGAUCUUCUCAUCUUGCUCGAUACUAUGAUCCUCUGUCCGGUUGGCUAGUUGGGUGGGUAAAUGCCCACCCAGGCGGCGAUCCGUAGCUGGUCUGAGGGGAUGAACAGCCACACUGGAAGUGAGACACGGCCGAGACUCCUAAGGGAGGCAGCAGUGGGGAAUAUUAGACAAUGGGGGAAAGGCGGAUACAGCAAUACCGAGUGAGUGAAGAAGGCCUGAGGGUUGUAAAGCCCUUUUGUUGGGAAAGAAAAGCAGUAGGUUAAUAUGGGGAUGUUAUGACGGUACCAAAAGAAUAAGCACCGGCUAACUACGUG
rnacentral:rRNA from 1 species